UAUUGUUUUUUCGUGUUUUAAAGAUUAACUUGUUUACUUGAACCUCGAUACAUUAGUUUCAAUUCAGCUAAUACUAGAUAUAGGUAAUACAGCUGUUCCGAGAGAGGUUGAAAACUUGUUAAGAAAACACGGCUUGUACACUUCUCAAGCACAAACUACAUUAAGAAAAGUACUAGUAAAUUCAAAUGUUAAAAAAUUUCCAGGGAACAUCCUUCAACAGCUGAUUGAGAUUUUCAAGCUAGCUGGGAAACUACCUGAAAGUGAAACGCUUCUUGAAUUCUUGUCUGCUCCUCUUUCUGCGUCCUAGUGCAUUCAUUAUGCAUUGUAAGGUCAAACAGCUGUCCCAAAAGAGGUUGAAAACUUGUUAAGAAAACACGGCUUGUACACUCUUCAAGCAAAAAAUGCAUUACAAAAAGCACUAGUAAAUUCAAAUAUUGGAGCCUUUCCAGGGAAUAUUCUUCAACAACUUAUUGCGAUUUUCAAGCUAGCUGAAAAACUACCUGAAAGUGAAACGCUUCUUGAAUUCUUGUCUGCUCCUCUUUCUUCUCCUUAGGGAAUUCGUUGUGCAUUUUCUGUGUUUCCUAGUUAGGUCGAAACAUAUAUCCAAACUUGUAAAACAAAAGAGAAAUAUUGAAUAAACAUGUUAGCACAUAGA
rnacentral:lncRNA from 1 species